rnacentral:rRNA from 1 species
UCGCCUGUUUAUCAAAAACAUGGUUUCUUGAUUAUUUAAGAAAUUUAACCUGCCCACUGAAAGAUUUUUGAAGGGCCGCAGUAUUUUGACUGUGCAAAGGUAGCAUAAUCAUUAGUCUUUUAAUUGAAGGCUGGAAUGAAUGGUUGGACGAGGUAAUUACUGUCUUAGUAUAGAAUAGUUGAAUUUAAAUUUUAAGUGAAAAGACUUAAAUGAUAUUAAGGGACGAGAAGACCCUAUAGAGUUUAAUAUUUUAGAUAUUUAAUUAAGUUAAUAAUUAAUUUUUGGUUAUUAUUAAAUGUAUUUGAUUGGGGUGAUAGAGAAAUAAAUUGAACUUUUUUUUAAAUUAAAUAAUAUAAUUAGUUUAUAGAUCCAAAUGUAGUGAUUAAAAGAUUAAAUUACCUUAGGGAUAACAGCAUAAUUCUUUUUGAGAGUUCUUAUUGAGAAAAGAGAUUGUGACCUCGAUGUUG